rnacentral:rRNA from 1 species
CAGCAGCCGCGGUAAUACGAAGGGGGCUAGCGUUGUUCGGAUUUACUGGGCGUAAAGGGCGCGUAGGCGGACUGAUAAGUCAGGGGUGAAAUCCCAAGGCUCAACCUUGGAACUGCCUUUGAUACUGUUUGUCUUGAGUUCGAGAGAGGUAAGUGGAACUGCGAGUGUAGAGGUGAAAUUCGUAGAUAUUCGCAAGAACACCAGUGGCGAAGGCGGCUUACUGGCUCGAAACUGACGCUGAGGCGCGAAAGCGUGGGGAGCAAACAGGAUUAGAUACCCCAGUAGUCCCUGUCUCUUAUAC